CCUCGGGUUGAAAACCCGAGGCUGACAAAUGUCACCGCUCCGCGGUU
rnacentral:sRNA from 1 species